AUUCUCCUUUGCUUUUAAACUAUUUGAACGUAAGUUUUUUUGAGCAAAUACUAUGAGGUCGUGGAAUCACCUCUUAUAUACUCCUGUCUCCUUGUGUUUGUAAAGCACUUUAUAUUUUACAGAGCACUUUGAUUCAUUUCUUUAUUUGUUCAUUCAUCCCAAUUCACUUAAAUAUUUAUUGAGCACCUACUGGAACCAAGUUCCUGUGCUCAAUCUUGUGAAAUACAGACAGUGAGAGAUGAGGCAUGUCUGCUGAUCAUUGUAAUAUGGUGAAAUCCUCAAACACAGCUUUGCAAAUUGUUGGGAUCGAUAUGACUCCAUCCAGUUUCCACUUCCAGUUUCUAUUCUACUUAGAUAGAGAACUAUCAAGUAUUUGCCUGAAGGAUGUUUCUGAAAUAUGAUACAUCAUUGCACAUCUCUGCUGCUUGCUCUGUUUCAAAUGAGCUGUUAAUUUCAUUUAUGAGAAGCAAAAUUACUCAUCCAAAGUUGUCCCAGACCCAAGAAGACUCUCUGGGUCACUUGAGUUCUUCCUGGCCAGAUGUAAUAGUUCACCAUCUCCUACUAUUUCUGUUGUGGCUUUAGGAAUUAUCAACAUCAUUAUCUCAAGGUCUUCCGGAAGCACCAGUGGAUCAAAGAAGCAUUUGCACUUUACAUGUGUAUAGCUGUUUGUCAUUUAUGAGCCUCGGCACUGUUGACACUUGGGCUCCAUAAUUCUCAGCUGGGGAUGGGCUGCUGGGAGUGGCCCCUUGCAUUAUAGGGCGUUGGGCUGCUUCCAGGGCUUCCAUUGACUACGUGACAGUAGCUCACAUACACGCACCCCAGCUGUGACAACUGAAGAUGUCUCCAGACAUUCCCAAAUGUCCCCUGGGGUGAAACUGGGGAAAAUACUGAAUUAUUUAGUGGAAAAAAAAUAUAUCAGGAGAAAAAAAGAAACGUUUCUCUUAUCACUUCAUCUUUAUCAUAGGCCUUUUUAUUUAUAGUAAGACUUGACAUCAUAAACUCUUUGAAUUAGAAGAGAUUUUAAAAAUCACGAGUUCAGCCACAAUCCAACAUUAUCCUCAUUUAUUUCUCCACUUCUCAGUCUUACAAAUGUAUUGAGAGAAGGUCAGAAGACUAGUUGUCUCUGGAACUGAGACCUGACCUUCCCCUGGCGAGAGGUAAGGCUGUUUGGUGUUUACCUUUCGCCCCUGAAGUAGCUGCUGCAGUGAUUUUUGCUUCGGUGGGGAACAUCUCAGAGAUCUUGAGGAGUUUUGAUUAUUUCACAAGUCUACAAAUCUUGCUCCACCAUCUUUGCUUUCAAAAUGUGCAUGGAAGUUGAAGUUUGAUACAUCUAGUUUUAAGGAUAUCUGGAUGAGCUUUCUAUUUCCUUUUUUUUUUUUUUUUUUUUUUUUAGCUUUCUAUUUCUGAUACUGAUUUUUUUUUUUUUAAUUGUCCCUCUUUGGGAAAAAAAAAGAAAUUUAACUGUGCCAAGUAGUUGAAAGUUGGAAAUGUCUGAGUUGAAAUAUCUAAAACUGCCAAGCCAAAGUUUCUGCUGAUUUGAUGUGCCUUAUGUUGGUUUUCCUGUAGGGUCAGUGAUUCCCUAUAAAUAACCCUAUGUUUUGUACUUGUGUCUAUUCUGCACCAAUUGGAAAAGUUGGAGAAGUUAUAAAAGACAAUCUGUUAUGAAUACGCCUAGAAAUAACAACAAACCCCAACUAGAAUAUCAGGUCUCCCUCCAUGCCUUUGCUGAAAGACCAACGCAGACUUUGGAAACAUUCUUAAUUAUUUAAUACAAGUUGCUAAUAUGGACACACAAUUGAAAGCUUUGAUUACAAAGUCUAAGGCGAUAGAAUAUAUUGACAAGCAUAUCCAGAGUGGCCUCUCUAAGGACUAUCUUGGAAAUCAGAAAACUCCAACCCAGGAGGUCCCUUAGUGUGUGUAUAUAUAUAUUCCUUCUCUACUACUGUCAUAGACAAUAUAGUGAUAUGAAAGGUUUUUAUUAGGUUGAUCUUCUAAUUUCAACUUAAAUUGCAACACAUCUGCCUAAUUAUUGCCCGGCAUACCUUUUAAAAGUGCCCACUGCUCUCACAACAGUUAUCGCAGAGGAGCAAGAUGAUAAUUGUUCAAGUAAAAUCGUCAACUUUCCUGAAUCAGUUCUCCAAACAAAUUUAUGGAAGAGAGCAUCACUGGCUUUUCAAUGUAACUUCUUGUUAAUUUCCAGAUCACUGUCCAUACUGAAAGAAUCACAGUUACUUUAAAUCCAGAAUAAAACGCUGGAAAAAAAUUUAUGCAAAUCAUAUGCUGGUGCUCAUCUUUUUCUAAUUUCUAUAGGAUUUAUUAUCAUUUGAGAAUUACUAAGAAAAAAAUGUGUCUCUUAAUAAAGUAAAAAAAAUUUGACUUGGCAGAUGGUGAUAUAUUCAUUUUGAUUCCAGUUGAAAAACCUCAGUGAUUUCUCUCAUUACCACUGGAGUGUUGAUUUAAAAAAAAAAAAAAAAAAAACAGGUUCUCUCUUCCCUAGCAUUGCAGAAAUAUGUGUUUUCAUGACCAAUAUAUCACUUGUUAAUCACGCAGCUAUAAACCUUUUGUGCCUAUCAACGAGAUUCAUAGCAUGAAACUAAUUUUAGACCAUUUGCUAUGUGGGAAGAAGUAUAGGGAUGGGUGGGUGAGGAUGAUUCAUGGGAAAAAAUAAAGAUCAAAAUAUGCCAUCAAGCAGGAUUUUCAGCUUCUUCAGAGCACUGUGCAAAUAAAUAUUCAAUGAAGAUCAGCUCAAAUUUAAGUCAUCCAGACUUGGAGACACUGGGGCACAGAUCCUGCCAGUUAUGCUAAGAAGCAUAUGACAUACAGGCAGUGAAGGAUGUUCCCAUUUAAUCUAAAACCCAGCCAUCUCCCCCCUGAACCUCUUCUAGGGCACCAAUCCUGAACUCAUUAAGGCUUUUGCUGCAGGGAAUUGGGCUACUUCUGGGCACGUAAGGACCAAAGAGAGACUUUUCAUUUAUCACCCUCUGACCUGCAAAGCAUGACUGUGUUCUUUGGUUCCCUUAUGCCAGAGACCAUGAGACAGCCCCACACAGGCAAUAAAGUACAAUAAAAAUAAAAAUCAUUUUCCUGAGGAAAGGCUAAGAGAAAGUACUUUCAUCUGCUCACCCUGAGCUGGCUCUCUGUGAAGUUUGACCACCUUGGGACCUAGACUCCAUAUUAUUGUCUAGACAUCGUGGUCCUGUCUGAGCAAACAUUUUAAAAAGUAAUCGAACAAAAAUAUAUUCCGAGGGUCAUAUUUUUAGUAGGGAAAUAAAACCUCAAAUUAGGUGUCUUCCACUAGGCUACUCUGAAAAUACCAUCAGGCAAAGUCAGCCACCAAAAACUGUUAAAAUCAUUUUAGGGAAACGAAUUAAGUUUCUCUAGACAUACAUAUUUUGUGUUUAUUACAACAAAAUCUCAGGUCCCUAGCUGAGAAGGGGAAAGUCCUUUCAUUGGUUGGUCAAAACAAAUCUCUCAUUUGCCUCAUUUGAGGCAUUUGGACGGUGGCUGGGAAGUACAUUAUUUUCCGGGGGGGAAAAAAGAGACAGCCUUUUUCUGCAUGCCAGCUGGGAUCAUGGGAACUUCCAGUGCCAGGAAUGUACUACUGUUUCUGGUAAUUCUGCUCAUAGUCAUUUGAAACGCUGAAGGGUGAAAGGAGGAGAAGCCGGGCACCCAGGGGCUGUCUGUGUGUUAUGCCAGUUGCACCAGUGCACAGAAUAUUUGUCAAUGAAUUUCCAAGUGGGUAUAACUGCACCCUUUGUCAGCAUCACAAAGCUCACUGUGGAGCUGCUGAAAGAGGACACCGGGGGCGGGGGGGAAUCUGACCCUCUAAACCCGGUCAGCAACCAACCAAAGGAAAGACUGGGUGAGCCCGGCCCGCUGCCAGUUCGCUUCUGUUUUCCACAGCCUUGGACUUCACAUCGAGGACGUGUCUGUCAGGUGAAAGUUAAUUUGGCGGAGGUUUUCCAAAACUUGGUUUAAUACCUGGAAAACUGCGCACGUUGAAUUGACCCCAGUCCUCCGGUCUCAUUUCUAUUUCCUUGGUCAUGUCCAUGAAACACUGGAGACCGCAUUUAUUUUAUUUUUUUCACGGUAAGAUAAUGUCCACCUACUUCCUGAUGACCUCAUGCUUGACAUACCUGAACCUGCAAAUGUAAAAAUGAUUGUAUCUGACUUUGCACUAAUGGUGUCUGAUAGCAAAGUCCUUUAUGGGACGCCUCUGUUUAAAUUCAGUCAUGCAGAUGCUGCAUGACUUCCACAGGCUUCUCUUUGAUUUUCACUGUAAGAUUAAUUACCUAAGUUUGAAUGUAUUUCCUUAUAGUCCAUCAAUUUGCCAUCUAUCGUUUACCUGGGGAACCUUAGGAUUGCAAUAAUUCAUUAGAGAUGUCCUCACACAGCUUCUUCAACCAAGUUUUUCUGCAUUUCUUCGGGUUCUGCUUAGAGUAUGUGGGAAAGCGUGUGUUCUGCUUUUUGUUUUUUUCCUAGUGAUGAUUUUGUAAGAAAGCCAGUGUAUCGACUGCCACAGUGACACGAUUCAUCUUUUAGGGUCUGGAAGCUGGUGGUGACCAAAUGCUAUGUGUGUUCUCUCUGUCAAUUGCUAUUUUCAGAAUUAAAUCAUGUUUUUCUCACUUUCGAUUGGAGUCAACACAUUUGGGAUUUCUCGAAGGGGGCGAAGGGAGCAAUUUGUGUAACACUGCUGUCAUAUUUGACUACAUAUUAAAAACAAUAAAUGAUCCUUUUGUUUUAAUUU
rnacentral:lncRNA from 1 species